AUUGAACGCUGGCGGCAGGCCUAACACAUGCAAGUCGAGCGAGAGGCGGACGGGUGAGUAAGGUCUGGGAAACUGCCUGUUGGAGGGGGAUAACUGCGGGAAACGGUAGCUAAACCCGCGUACAAUCAGCUUUGCACAGAUGGGGUUAGCUAGUAGGUGGGGUAACGGCUCACCUAGGCGACGAUCCCUAGCUGGGCUGAGAGGAUGACCAGCCACACUGGAACUGAGACACGGUCCAGACUCCUACGGGAGGCAGCAGUGGGGAAUAUUGCACAAUGGGCGAAAGCCUGAGGCAGCCAUGCCGCGUGUGUGAAGAAGGCCUUCGGGUUGUAAAGCACUUUCAGCGGGGAGGCGUUACCCGAAGAAGAAGCACCGGCUAACUCCGUGCCAGCAGCCGCGGUAAUUC
rnacentral:rRNA from 1 species